rnacentral:rRNA from 1 species
GGGGUUUACGACCUCGAUGUUGGAUCAGGGGUGUCCCAGUGGCGCAGCCGCUACUAACGGUUCGUUUGUUCAACGAUUAAAACCCUACGUGAUCUGAGUUCAGACCGGAGUAAUCCAGGUCGGUUUCUAUCUAUAAAGGACUUUUUCUAGUACGAAAGGACCGAAAAAGCAUGGCCAAUGCCCAAGUAUGCCAUAUGUAUAAUUUAUGAUAAUAUCUUAAUAAAAACACAUCCUACCACAAACCCCAAAAAAAGGGAGUUAAC